rnacentral:lncRNA from 1 species
GUGGGAAGAGAUUUGUAGUUAAGGUGAGAAAAGAAAAGAAAAGAAGUCAAACCGACGCCACACAAGAGAGAACAGAAAAUUAAAACGCUAAUGAAGGAGCUCAAAGCCUUAACAGGCGGUACGAGAGAAAAGCAAUUAUAUCAGUUAACCAAAGUUUGUCUGACAGGCAGUAUUAGAAAUGAAUUAAGAAGAAAACAGUAACAACGUCAUCCCAUAUUCAACCAAGAUGGAUAAAUUUU